rnacentral:rRNA from 1 species
UACAGAGGGGGCAAGCGUUAUUCGGAAUUAUUGGGCGUAAAGGGCGCGUAGGCGGCUUGGCAAGUGGAAGGUGAAAUCCCUCGGCUUAACCGAGGAACUGCCCUCCAAACUGCUUGGCUUGAGACCGGGAGAGGUGAGUGGAAUUCCCAGUGUAGCGGUGAAAUGCGUAGAUAUUGGGAGGAACACCAGUGGCGAAGGCGGCUCACUGGACCGGUACUGACGCUGAUGCGCGAAGCGUGGGAGCAAACGGG